rnacentral:rRNA from 1 species
GUGAAUGAUGAAGGUCUUAGGAUUGUAAAAUUCUUUCACCGGGGGAAGAUAAUGACGGUACCCGGAGAAGAAGCCCCGGCUAACUUCGUGCCAGCAGCCGCGGUAAUACGAAGGGGGCUAGCGUUGCUCGGAUUUACUGGGCGUAAAGGGCGCGUAGGCGGACAGUUUAGUCAGAGGUGAAAGCCCGGGGCUCAACCCCGGAAUUGCCUUUGAUACUGGCUGUCUUGAGUUUUGGGAGAGGUAUGCGGAACUCCGAGUGUAGAGGUGAAAUUCGUAGAUAUUCGGAAGAACACCAGUGGCGAAGGCGGCAUACUGGCCCAAUACUGACGCUGAGGCGCGAAAGCGUGGGGAGCAAACAGGAUUAGAUACCCUGGUAGUCCACGCCGUAAACGAUGAUUGCUAGUUGUCGGCACGCAUGCGUGUCGGUGACGCAGCUAACGCAUUAAGCAAUCCGCCUGGGGAGUACGGUCGCAAGAUUAAAACUCAAAGGAAUUGAC